UUUCCAGUUCUAAUUACCUCC
rnacentral:piRNA from 1 species